UACGUAGGUGGCAAGCGUUGUUCGGAAUUAUUGGGCGUAAAGGGCGCGUAGGCGGUUUGUUAAGUCGGUCGUGAAAGCCCGGGGCUCGAACCCCGGAGGGUCGACCGAUACUGGCAGACUAGAGUACAGAAGAGGUAACUGGAAUUCCCGGUGUAGCGGUGAAAUGCGUAGAUAUCUGGAGGAACACCGGUGGCGAAGGCGGCUUCCUGGACCGACACUGACGCUGAGGCGCGAAAGCUAGGGGAGCAAACGGG
rnacentral:rRNA from 1 species